UUCAAAGUUACAGUCAACAAUUUGUCAUCAGAGCCCAAAGGAGAAGAAGGGUGGGGUGAAAGAGACAAAAGACGAAGGAAGGCAUAAAGAGACUAUUAGGAAGAGGUGGAGAGGGGCCCCUCAUUUCCCUCUGUCUACUCAGUGGGUGACAUAUCAGAUCUGGCGACAAUACUGAAGGCACCAGGUUGGAGGACGUGGAUGAGAAAUGACACUGCAAAGGAACACCAAAGCCUCAACUACAAAAAGAAAGUCAUCAAAAUCCAAAGAGAAAGGAAACUUCUUAGUUCGUUUCACAAACGGGGGAAGCGAUGGAACAGCUAGGAGCAGAGUGGAGACAUAUCCAUUUCUUUUAUGCCUGUUUGAUAUGUAAGAAUGUAGGGUGGACUUGAGGCUGUGGAAAGAGGGGAAGGGGUGGCCAGUGGUCUUCCCAGAAUAUCCCAUAUGGCCCUAAAGAUCUAAAUGGGUUCAGAUGCUCCUUAACCUUCCAACCCAAGAAACUGGGCAAAGCUAAUGAUCUCACAAACUUGGAAGCACCCACCCAAAUUAUCUGAUGAAAAACUACAAUUCCCAGAACACCCUGGGUCAGCAAAAGGAAGGCCCUGCCCCAUAAGACGACCCACUUUCUCAGCAUCUAGGCCCUUGAUAAGUAGGCCUAGGAGGAGAGGACUCCUAUGCCCUCAGGAAGAUGCCACUCUCCUGCCACCCACACCACCACAGUUUGAGAGCUACCCCUCUCAAAGGCCCCUUAGAAGUCCCCUGCUCCUUACCACCCACCCCUUCCACAUCUACCACUGAUUCCGACGCAGAGCUCCAGAACGAAAGGGAAGGGACAGAGGGAUGCUGGGAGGUAGAAACGGCCAGCCCAUGCCUAGACAGAGCCUUGGGAAACAGUUCCAGGCAGGGAGGGAACACGGUGGCGGUCUUGUCUCAUUCCAGGGAGCAGAGGCUCUGACUCAGACCCUAAGGGAGUAGGGGCACAGAGGUGAGGGCCUGGUGGCUUGUCCCAUCCUGGUCAGUCCCCAAGAGCCGGGCUUGGAGAGGGAGAGUGGGUGGAGGAGAGCGGUGGGUCCCCACUGGGUCACUGCGUGGUUGAUCUCCGCCUCCGGGAGUGGUGGCCUCGCAUCCUCCGCGGCCGCGGCCUCCUCCAUCUCCUCCCCUGCUUCCGGAUUGGCCUCCCUGGGACGUUUGGGGAUGCCUUCUGGUGGGUCCCCCGCACUCCUCUUCAGCCGCUCCUUCUUCUCCAAGGCUGGUGGGUCCAGGCCCCGCCGCCCUUGCUUGGUUCCGCCGCUGCCAUCGGUGAGGCUCUUCAGGUCCUCAAAGCCCUCGGUGGCCUCUGGCUCGAGCUCCUCAGUGCCACUCUUCUGCGCAAACUGGUAAUCGGAAGCCUGGACGGUGGGGUUGUUCUCGAUCUCCCACAGCCCCUCGCUGAAGCCCCUUCUCUUGUUGGGUUUGCCGAACUUCUCCUUGGACUCCUCAUAUGGGAAGAGAUGCUUGGGGCCCAGGAAGGCUGUCUCGUGGGUCCCGAAGAAAAACACUUGGUAGCGGUUGGCUUCGGCCGUUUGCUCGAUCCUGGCCGGCCAGUGGGCAUAGCCCUUUAACUUGGCGAACACCAGGUCCCCGUUCUUGUACUUGCGCCGACAGAACCGCGACAUGGCUACGGACGCGGCCCCCGCGGCGGCCAGAAAAGUCAACUCUCGACGGCACGCGGGUACGGCGGCCGCUGAGCUCGGGCUGCGCGCGGCCCCGCCUCGAGGGGGCCCCUGAGCGCGCACCACAGGAUGCAACGCCCAGGCGCCCUCAGAAGGUUCUAAGUGCGAAGACUGCAUCAUCCCCGAGACCCAAAGCCCAUUUGGCCCCACCAGCGACACUGGGGUUUCUAGAAGGAUAGCAUGAAGAGCUUGGAUAUUCCGGAUGUCAGUUGUGUGGGCUGCGGUCCUCUGCAGAUCAAUCUCUCCAGCACCCGGACCAUUGCAGAUGGAAUCCCUGACUGUACUAGCCAGAAUGGCCUAGAAAGGGAGAGAUGGGGCAGUGUGGCAGGAAAACUCAGUGAAAUAAUUAGCUCAUAUUUCGGUGAAACCAGGAAUAGGCUAGUGCAAACUUGUAGUAUCCUUGGGCACCCUCAUCUGCUUAUUACAGAAAACGCCACUCUUGCCUCAGGAGACAGUGAUGGGAUGCCUGGGUCAGUGGGUUCACCCCUUUUUCUCAUUUCCUUGGGAGCUGACCCUGGUGCCUGCAAGGGGAUUGAAGAACAGAGUGGAGGCAAAGGGAUAGAGUCAGCAACAAUGGCAGGAUGCCCAGCGUGUACACCUUUUGGAAACCAGUAUCCUAAAGAAUAGAACUUUUUGGCGUUACAAGAUGUACAUCACAGCAUCAUGACCAUGUCUAAUUAGCCAUGUCAAAAUCUCCUACUUUAUGUGGGAUACUGGGCAUGGCCUUUACCUCUUCAGCAAUUCUUGCAUAUUUUAAAGGAUAAGACUACGUGAUGAUAACACAACAAGGAUGUCAAAUACUCUCAGUACCUUCCUAAAAGAGGAGAAAGUUGGGCUCAUGGUUCUUAAGAGUUGGGGAGAGGUCAUUUAUAUUAAGUAUCUUCUUAGUAAAGAGAACUUUAUGGUGGCUACAGAUUAAAAAGCAUCAUCUCAGCAGAAAGACUAUUUUAAGAAUAGUCUUUUCACCUCAAUGGAUAUUUAUGGGAGUUUCCAUGUAACUACAAUUGUUACACAAUUGUCUAUAUCUUUUUUGAGUUCUGCUUGCUAGCUGUCUGCUGGUACUCUGAAACCUAGCCAAAUUUGUCAUAAUAAUACUUCUGGCUAUUAUAACAAAGACCUUUCAAUAUCAAUCAUGUAUUUAACUACACAAGUUUGUUUGUUCGUUUGUUUGUUUUGUUUUUUUCCUAGUGUCACCAAUAGUGACCAGUGGAGAAUUGGAACCAUUAACCCAUUUCAAUACAACUCAUUUAUUUCUGGUUUGCUGGGUUGGAUAGGCCAUUUUACCUCUGGGUGGUAGAGACCUGUUCUGGGCCAAAUAAGUUAUCUCCCAACAAGGCAAAACAAAUAUUAUACACUUGGAUACUUCUAAACAAGUUCAGCAAAUUCUUUUAGUUUUUUUUUUUUUUUUUUGUCAAGUCAUUUUCUUAGAAUGCUCAUCUGCCCCCCAAAUAGCUACAACUUUACCGAUUAAGUAACAUCAAAAAUGCAUGACCAGUAAAGGUACUUAGUUGUGCUCAGUCUGAAAGUCUGACCAAAUACUCAAGUUGAGAGUGUUCUUAGGCAAAAGGAUCAUACAGGCAUACGCCAAACCUCAACGACUGACGGGUAGUUGAAUCACUGCAGGUAAACAGGUUAGGGAUCAGAGGUGGAAACAAAAAGUAAGGAGAUGGAAGCAAGAAGACCUAAUAGCAAAGGAUCUAUAUCUGUAAAGGGUUACAUAUAUUCCUAUAGGCAAAGGAGUGUCAUUUU
ensembl:lncRNA